GGACCAGUGUACCAUAGGGGCUUUCCAGUAGUCAGGUGAGCUAGUUAGGCGAGCAGAUCAGGCUCGCGGAUAAAGUGCAGCUCAGAUCACCCUGGUUAUAGGGUGAACCAGCUAGGCAAGCGGAGCAGGCGAGCGGAUAGAGGGGCUGUUGUACUGCCCCUUUGAGAGUGAGUAUUAUUUUCGAGUGGCAUGUUUUGUAAACCCUUGGUAUCUGUAAGAGUAGUUGUGGGAUGAUUUGACAUUCUGGUAUUGUAUUAUGUGAUUUUAUUUUAUAUGUUUGGUCUUCCACUGUUUAGGUUAAUGAUUGAAAUUAAAAUUAGGAAAAAAUAUUUUAUUUUAUUA